rnacentral:rRNA from 1 species
ACUCCUACGGGAGGCAGCAGUGGGGAAUAUUGCACAAUGGGGAAACCCUGAUGCAGCCAUGCCGCGUGUGUGAAGAAGGCCUCGGUUGUAAAGCACUUCAGUAGGAGGAAGGUAGUGUAGUUAACACCUGCACUAUUUGACGUUACCUACAGAAGAAGCACCGGCUAACUCCGUGCCAGCAGCCGCGGUAAUACGGAGGGGUGCGAGCGUUAAUCGGAAUUACUGGGCGUAAAGCGCAUGCAGGCGGCCUGUUAAGUCAGAUGUGAAAGCCCGGGGGCUUAACCUCGGAAUUGCAUUUGAAACUGGCAGGCUAGAGUCUUGUAGAGGGGGUAGAAUUUCAGGUGUAGCGGUGAAAUGCGUAGAGAUCUGAAGGAAUACCAGUGGCGAAGGCGGCCCCCUGGACAAAGACUGACGCUCAGAUGCGAAAGCGUGGGGAGCAAACAGGAUUAGAUACCCUGGUAGGAUAGCG